rnacentral:rRNA from 1 species
GACAGAGGGUGCAAACGUUGUUCGGAAUUACUGGGCAUAAAGCGCACGUAGGUGGUCCGCUAAGUCGCGUGUGAAAUCCCCCGGCUCAACCGGGGAAAUGCGCGUGAUACUGGCGGGCUUGAGAUCGGGAGGGGUGAAUGGAACUCCAGGUGUAGCGGUGAAAUGCGUAGAUAUCUGGAGGAACACCGGUGGCGAAGGCGGCAUCCUGGACCGGUAUUGACGCUGAGGCGCGAAAGCUAGGGGAGCAAACGGG